ACUCUGAUGCCGCCGUUCCAAUUGGAAAUGUUUUCUCGAACGGAAAUCGAACAUACAUAAAUGGUUGUAAAUCGAUAUGUUAAUGCGGCGCAAAGUUCGGCGAGGUCGUUAGGUCAACGUGACGUCAACGGAUACGGAGACCCUCGAAGUGACGGACUGCGACAACAUUUGCAUGUUAAACAUUUCUCGAACGUGCAUAUGUAUAUAGUGCGAUUACGGCCAAUACAAUUCGUUUGCGGCGAUGUCCUUUCCAUUUAUUCCAGAAUUCUGCUACACAGAAACGAAAAUCUUGCGACUUCUGUAUGCUAGAAUGGAUCGGUACGAUGGAGGGAGCACGGGACGAGUAAUUUGUAUUUUCUGGAAUUUUCCCACGUAGACUUAAAUGUGAAAACCUUCAACCUAUUCAAUGAGGUUUUCUAAUCUGUAUUAUCAGGGCGUGGGAUAAAUUAAUAAAAGGAUGAACAAAAUAAUCCAUGCAACUAUGUUAAUCGUGUAGUUUCAUAACACUAUAGUAUUAGGUUGAAGUUAAGGCAUACGGACAUGUGAUCAAAAUUGAAGACAGAAAAGGAAAAGGUGAAGCAGAAUAAAUCAGUCUCAACGAUUGCACAGCCUGUCGCUUCUUCCAAUGACCCGUGAUCCACUCUCUGAUCCUUCCCAGUGUUGGCUCCAGAAUGGAGGAAAAAAAAAGGGAAACGAUAACCCCAGAUACCGUAGCGCACAUAUACAUGUGCUUGGUAUCGUUCUCGUAAUAAUCGGACGAUCGUGUUGCUAACCGAAGUAGGUACAUAUAUGUAUGUACUUGCUCGGGUUAUCUGGCUAUGUUUGUCCUUCGUUAUAAUUUUGUUACGUUUUUUCGCGCUUGUUCAGUAUUGCAAAAAAAAAAAAGAAAAGAAAAGAAUGGAAAUAAGAAAAAAGGAAGAAUCGUCACGAUCGUUCGCAAUUAUCAUCGUUGCUUUGUACGCACGUUCGUCAUUUUGAGGGAAUUGUCGUCGUGUUUUUCAAUAUCGGCAUUUAUGAAUAUCAGAAACAAUUGCGAUAUGCACGAUGUGGUCAACAAAAUGAACGAAUGAAAAUUACUGACGUCGCUAAUUGUUCAAUAGAUUACAACGUUGUAGUAUCGAACGACUGUCUCAUGAGCAGUUGACAAGUUUUUUACAUUUUCAAAUAAUUUGUCCAGCCAACUCUCAGCAAUCGUCACUAAACUGCUGAAUGAUAUUUUCACAGUGAGAGAAACAGAGGGCAUGAGAAACCCUUCUGGCAGCAGUGUAUAGUUAUUAACAAUCAAAAUGACAAACUUCGAUGAAAGGUGCAAAAAUGGUUUUUUUUGCCAUACUGGCUCAAAUUAAUGUGUUCCUACAAUUUCAGGUGACAUGACUUUUGUCAUACUGGCUCAAAUUAAUGUGUUCCUACAAUGUCAGGUGACAUGACGAUUUAAGUAUAUAUAUGCUGCAGUUAGAAGUUUUCAUCAUUCGUGAGAAAGACGACAUGGCAUGUUAAACGUGUUAAUUUGAGCAUCAUAAUUUGGACAUUGGAAAUAUCACUUUGAACCAACCAAAACAUAUUGACUGGGCAAGCACAUUGGGCAAUCUUUUAUCAAGCGACACGUUACGUUGCUUAAAUCAAUUCUGUUGUGAAAUAUGCAACCGUAACGAUUGGCUAUUCUAAUUGCCGUUAAUGAACCAUCAGAUAGUUAAAACAUGCUACCUUUGAAGCUAUAUAUAUGGCUGGUUGAAUCUUGGACCGAGGAGGCUCUGGAAAAACUUCAAUUUUCUGGCAAUGAUCUCGUGUCUUUCUUGGGAACCAUCGUACAGGGUAACGAGGGCGUACGCAGUGUUUGACAAACAUAGGAGCGGCAUAUCGGGUCGAUGACAAAAAGAAUAAAAGGAGAAAAAAAAAAGGGAAGGAGCUGGGAUAUAGGGAGGAAGAGACUAUACUCUGACUCUCGACCUUUUCCUACCUAGCCUUUCGUGUAUUUCACUCGCUUUAUACCUAGGCGUGGCCUCUGUGUUCCCUUUGCCUCGGCGAACUAUCGCGCUUCCGGUAUAAUCGUACGGCAGAAUAACGCCCCGGGCGAAAUUAACAUCGGAUCAAACGACGGAUCGAUCCGUCCUCUUUCUCAAUUCGAAAUCCAUUUAGAAUCCAUUUAGAAUGUAACAGUCUUUUGUAAAGUCCAAAUACAGUUUCAAAUACCGAUGUAAAUAGUUUUGAAAAUAUUCGACUUUCUCCUGAUCACUAAUCGGAUGAUUCUUUUCCAGGCUGGACGAGCGUUUAACGAUAAUAAUCGCAAACGAGCAUUUCGAGGAAACGCAACAAACGACAGAUAACGAGAGGACUGUUCUGAAAACCACGCCGAUUCAUCGAGACAAGAGGCGUCGUUCUAUCGGAUAAGGAGAUCGAAGGAAAAAGGAACGAGGAAUUGUCAUCGAUGGAGCUGUCUGUUUGCUUCUGCAUUGCUCUUCGUGGUUCCUGAUUUCGCGGUCGAUCGGCCAAAAGAGCCACGACGACAAUGGUGGCCGAUGUCGUUUCUAAAUACGUCUCUGGAUGUAAGCGCACCUCGCGAGAGACCUCCUCUAAACUAAAUGCGACUUUUAACGAGCAACACGAGGAACGGAGGAGCGACAGGGAAACGACCUGCGCGCGGAUUCGGGCGCGGUCAAUGCCGUCUAGAUGCUCGCUAUUACUAUCCGAACCGCCUGGUAUUUUCGUCAUGGCCUACUAAUACACUCCGCAAAUUCUCGCCCUACCACCGGGCCACUGUUCGACGAUGACGUGGCCGAGGAAAUAUGCCGAUCGGGUGUCGUGUCGCUGACCGUGAUGUCCAAUUUCCUCGUUUUUCUUCCUUUUUCGUUUUGCUCUUUGAAAAUGAGCCAACAACGAGCCUGUUCUAUGCAAGAGAUUCGUAAAGAUAGUUAAAAAGAUAAAAAAAUUCUUCUUGAUUUGAAUUUGACCAUCAAACCGAAACCUUCUGCAUGGUUUGAAGAAAUUCACAAAGUGAAGUUCCACGAGAGUUGAAUAAAUUUCUCACAAGGAAAGAUGCCCAUGUAAUUACUGCUUCUGUAAAGGUAUUCUUCUUUUGAAAUGUUUGCUCUUCCAUUCGGGGGCAGCCUCGAAUUUUCUAGCCUGGCGUAACGAGAAAAAUCGGUAUAUUAAUGCGUUUUAGCGGUAAGCAUAGUGGUCGUGGCUAAAUAUUCGAGGAGUUCAGCCUUCUGUGUAUUCAUGGCCAUCGUCGUCGUCGCGGGGAAGGAAGAAAGAACAGAUGCAUUUGCAUCUGAAAGAUGCACGAUUUGUAGGACACGGAGUUUUUCGAUUCAGUAUGUUUACUUGACAAUAUGCAUGUAUAUAUAUGUACUGAGAAUUAUAGCGAUAUAAGCCACUCUUGUAACUUAUAUUGUAAAAUUAUGUUUAUUACUAUCGCUUUCUUAAAUUUCCGAUAAUAAACGAGGUUGUAACGACAGUUGGCUAUAAAACUGAACAUGUAGAACUACGAUUCUCGUAUAUUGACCAUUUUUAGAAAUAUUCUACUUAACGUAUUUCGUUACCUAAUUCACAAUUUGUUCAUAAUUGGAAGCUACUCUUUCUUCAAUCACAGAAUGUCAAGCUUCGUAUUAUCUUCUUAUUUUGUGAAAAGACGUACCAUUUAUAAUCGGUAGAUAAACGUUUCGAAGUUAAUUACAACGAAAAACUCUUCAUCCGUCCCGAUAUCACAUCAUUGAUACCAAUAAACGGGUAAAGUCGAUGAUGCAAUGUCAACCAUGUAUACUCGUUUCCCCUUGCGCAUCGAACGUUUUAUCUGUUCAGCUCAUUAUAGAUAAAGACGUAGACGCCAGUCCUGUCCUAUUUCGUAAGUCUCGGUCAUCGUGCAACGGCCAUUUGGCGAUAAAAUUUUUUUGAAUUUGGGACACGAGAAAACACAGGGUCGCUAAGGUCGUUCCACGUCGAUAAGAUAUUACCGACGUAGAACGUAAGUGCACUGGUUACGUAAACGUAGGGUACAGGGGGUGAUAUCUCAUCCAACGACCCAAGUUACACUACACGACGAGAGGAGACGACGUUGUAAAUCAUCGUUACGACGACGGAUCGAACGAGCCAUUUGUCGUGUUUAGCAAUCGAGGAUGCAAAGGAAGGAUUUCCUUUCAAUAUACAUAUACUGUUAAUAACUGAUUUAUUUCUGAUUGCUUUCCGAAUACCAAAUACGAACCGGUGUUCAAAAAUAAGCAAAAAUAAGAUAUACGCAGGUAGCCUGUAUUGUAAUGCGACGCGUUAUCAGCCUUGAACUCGGUGACGAAGCACUCUGUGCCAGCGCGUUGUAAAGUACAAGUGUAUUUGCAACUGGUACGUUACUUUCGAUGACUGGCGAGUUGACAUGAAUUUCACUAGCUACUUAGGACGUUAGUCACAUUUCAUAGAAUCAUCGGGUAAUAUUGUAAAUUCAUAAGAUCAUAAAGUAACUUCGCAUUUUGUAUUCUGUGCUUGGCGGAAUUGUAAUUUAUUCGAGCACAUCGGAGACCGUUACAAUUCGAAUCACGUCGUUCUGAGAAUGAUUCGAGAUUAUUAGUUUCGAUGAUAAGAACUGAGAUUUAGGAAAUUGAAAUCGAUGGGGUUCGUUUGUGUUACCAGUGGCACGAGUCUCUUGAAUCUUAGAUUCUGAAACUCAACCUAUUUGAUAUGUUGCAUAUACUUGUACAUAUGUAUAAAAUGGAAAUUUCAAUUGUAGCUACGUUAGUCAUCAUUUCA